UUGUUUUCCAACAUACAAAACAUCAUGUCCAGAUCUCGCACUGAGCUGCGUUUAUAUCUGGACAAUCAUACAAUAUGGUUUGGAUACAAAAUAUAUCAACAUAAUGGUUACCAAAGCUACUCUACUACCAACUACUACAAACUAUACCUAAUGUUCUUCUCCAAUCAUCUUCUAUCAACUAUUGUCCAUUCAUUGAAGGGAUAUUUAAUAUUAUUUACAAGUUUGGUUGUUUUCUAUAAACAGUUGUUAUGUAUGUAUGUAUACUAUAUCUAACUUUUAUAUAAUCCAGACCCCUUCCCCUGUGCGAUCAGAAGAGGGUCUGGCCAUUUAUACAUGUUGUCCCAAUAAGAUUCCUCCAUCAGAUUUUGAGUAAAAUAACCAACAUUUUCAUUUUAGAGUUAUUCAAUGUAGCAACACCAAUAUUCUAACGUAUCCGAAUAUAGAAAAUCGCUAAGAAUUAAAAUUAAUUCAUUAUUUUUGUGCCUGAGUCGUAAACUACAAAUUCUCAGCCAUGGCUGUGAGCCUCAUUUUACUAAUUUUUACAUCAAACGAAAUCUUA